rnacentral:rRNA from 1 species
UUCCGGUUGAUCCUGCCGGCGGCCACCGCUAUAGGAAUUCGAUUAAGACAUGCGAGUCGAGAGCGCAAGCUCGGCGGACUGCUCAGUAACACGUGGACAACGUGCCCUAAAGUGGGGGAUAAUCAGGGGAAACUCUGGAUAAUACCCCAUAGAUCAUGAGAUCUGGAAUGACUUAUGGUUCAAAGUUCCGGCGCUUUAGGAUCGGUCUGCGGCCUAUCAGGUAGUAGUGGGUGUAAUGUACCCCCUAGCCUAUUACGGGUAUGGGCCUUGAGAGAGGGAGCCCAGAGUUGGAUUCUGAGACACGAAUCCAGGCCCUACGGGGCGCAGCAGUCGCGAAAACUUCACAAUGGGCGAAAGCCCGAUGAGGGAAUUCCUAGUGCUAGCACUUUUGUGUUAGCUUUUCUUUAGCGUAGAUAACUAGAGGAAUAAGGGCUGGGUAAGACCGGUGCCAGCCGCCGCGGUAAUACCGGCAGCUCAAGUGGUAGCUGUUUUUAUUGGGCCUAAAGCGUUCGUAGCCGGUUUAAUAAGUCUUUGGUGAAAGCUUGUAGCUUAACUAUAAGAAUUGCUGGAGAUACUAUUAGACUUGAAGUCGGGAGAGGUUAGAGGUACUACCGGGGUAGGGGUGAAAUCCUAUAAUCCUGGGAGGACCACCUGUGGCGAAGGCGUCUAACUAGAACGAUCUUGACGGUGAGUAACGAAAGCCAGGGGCGCGAACCGGAUUAGAUACCCGGGUAGUCCUGGCCGUAAACGAUGUGGACUUGGUGUUGGAAUGGCUUCGAGUUGUUCCAGUGCUGAAGGGAAGCUGUUAAGUCCACCGCCUGGGAAGUACGGUCGCAAGACUGAAACUUAAAGGAAUUGGCGGG